rnacentral:lncRNA from 1 species
UUCCAUUAUGGACGAAUUCCUUCUGGAUUUCUAUUGCAUGCAGGCUUCGGUCGAGCUUUCUCGACAAAUGAUCGCCAUCCGGGCUCCUACGGGGAUCGAACUUCGAUCGAACUUCUGUAGCGGAUAGAUUCCGAACGAACUCCUACGACACACGGACUUCAGCAGUCGGACCCCCCCAACAGAUGAACCUCUCCAGCGUCAUCCGACAUCC